rnacentral:rRNA from 1 species
UACGGGGAAGGGCAGUCGUUGUCGGAAUUACUGGGCGUAAAGGGCUCGUAGGCGGCCAACUAAGUCGGAUGUGAAAUCCCCAGGCUCAACCUGGGAACUGCAUCCGAUACUGGAUGGCUUGAAUUCGGGAGAGGGAUGCAGAAUUCCAGGUGUAGCGGUGAAAUGCGUAGAUAUCUGGAGGAAUACCGGUGGCGAAGGCGGCAUCCUGGACCGACAUUGACGCUGAUGAGCGAAAGC